rnacentral:rRNA from 1 species
AGUGAACGCUGGCGGUAGGCCUAACACAUGCAAGUCGAACGGCAGCACAAUAAGAGCUUGCUCUUACGGGUGGCGAGUGGCGGACGGGUGAGGAAUACAUCGGAAUCUACUUUUUCGUGGGGGAUAACGUAGGGAAACUUACGCUAAUACCGCAUACGACCUACGGGUGAAAGCAGGGGAUCUUCGGACCUUGCGCGAUUGAAUGAGCCGAUGUCGGAUUAGCUAGUUGGCGGGGUAAAGGCCCACCAAGGCGACGAUCCGUAGCUGGUCUGAGAGGAUGAUAAGCCACACUGGAACUGAGACACGGUCCAGACUCCUACGGGAGGCAGCAGUGGGGAAUAUUGGACAAUGGGCGCAAGCCUGAUCCAGCCAUACCGCGUGGGUGAAGAAGGCCUUCGGGUUGUAAAGCCCUUUUGUUGGGAAAGAAAAGCAGCAGGUUAAUACCCCGCUGUUCUGACGGUACCCAAAGAAUAAGCACCGGCUAACUUCGUG